GCGGGGGUGCCCGAGCUGGUCAAAGGGGGCGGACUCAAGACCCUUUAGUAAGACCCUUUAGUAAGAGAUCCGCUGGCGAAGGCCUUCGCGGGUUCAAAUCCCGUCCCCCGCA
rnacentral:tRNA from 1 species